GGGGGGCUGGUACUUUUCAGGUGAGAAUCAAUAAGAAUGUAAUUUGUAUUGAUUUCUUGGGAGGAAGGUCUCAGAGUGCCCAUUGCUGACAGCCGGGAGAACUUUCCGGUGGGCAGGGUCAUUCUUUUUACCCAUUCUCUUUUGUCAGCUGUGAGCAUACACAGGAGUGCUCCUUUUCUGCACAGAGCAAGGUGCUGUCGUUGCCCUGGUGUGUGGCCUUGGUGACCUGCCUUUCAUCGUUUCCUGGUUGGCCAUCGUUGUGGAUGUGGAAAAGAAGUUCUUGGGCAUGCAAACAGUAGCAGGUGCCUAUGUGACGCCUCCUAGGAGCUUGGUUGUGGCCUUGUCAACAGGGACACAGUCCAGAAUGGUGAUGAGUGUGCAAGGUGGAGGCUCAUUCUCACCCCAACAUCCUGACUCUGCAGACAGAACAGCCCAGAAAAGAAAGUUCCCCCAGCCCUCCACAUUCUUCCAAUGGCCACUCGCUGCAGGACACCUCUACAGGACCCAUUAAAAAGAAAAAGAAGCCCGGUUUACUGAGCAGCAACUGCAAGGAGCAGUCAUAACUAAGACAUGGUCCGUUUUACUAUAUGAAGCAGCCACUCACCACAGACCCUGUUGAUGUUAUACCGCAGAAUGGACGGAUUGAUUUAUAUUGCUGGGUUUGUCACUGGGAAGGCCAAGUUCUUUGCUGUGAGCUCUGUCCCUGGGUUUAUCACGCUAAGUGUCUGAUACUGCCAUCAGAACCAGAGGGGGACUGGUUUUGUUCUGAAUGUGAGGUUAGUUCCCAACGAAUGAAUACAUUACCUGCUUUGUUGCCUCUCUCUUCUCUUCCUUUGACUUACAAAAUUUAUAAUAAUUUAUAAUAGAUAAGGGGAAAAAUAUAUUUCUUGCCUCCCACCCGUUCUGUCCUAGCCACCCCCCUUUUGGUCCAGCAUCUGCCCCUGGCUGUGGUCCUGCAGCUCUUGGAGAAAUGAUCACAUGGAAUAUUGUCUGGGUUCUUCUUGAGUCUUUGAAUCACUUUGACAUCUGCUACUACCUUUCUUCUUCUGGAAUGCACGUCUUACACGAUAACUUUUGAACCGUUAACAGUUCACAUGGUCUGAAACACUCUUGCACAGCUUCUCUUGGGUGUGCCGUGCUGCAUCAUAAGGUCAGCAACCGCCGCCAACCUGGGAUGCCCAAUUUGGGCCCUGUGUUCUGGGUGGUGGCUGUGCCAUCUGAGUCUUUCUUUCAUACAACAAAUAUUUCUAACAGAGAUGGGAUAGUGCUCAGAAAAGUAGGCACAGAUCACUUUCCUUUUAACAGAAAAGGACAGAAGUGAAAAUGAAGUUAGAAAUAAUGAGUUUGAAGAAGGGUGCAAAUUGAAGACGGGGAGUAGGGAGUUCAGGAGCCGCAGGGCAUUCCAUUUUAAAUGUCCAGGCCUGGAAGGCCCCCCUGAGAUUUGAGAAGUACCUGAUGGAGUUGGGCCCUGCUGCCCUCUGGGGGAACCUUCUGGGCAAAGGUGUGGCCUGGGCAGAGCAGGGGGACAGUGAAGGCAGUGUAGACUUCAUGGGUAGCCAAGAGCUGCUUGAAGCUAACCAGUCCCUGGACUUGCAGGAUUCUGAGGCAGCAUCUGUUAUUGGCAACUCUGGACUAGGAGGCUCUUUCAAAUGCUAAAAAAAAGAGAAUCAUCUGAAAGUAAUUUGGUAUAGAAUGUCUCUUGGAUCCCAAGGCAAAUGGCCUCAUAUUGCACAUGAAGAUGCAUCUGGGCAGCCCUGGAGGGGCUGCCCGGAUGUUUUCUGUGGAAAAAAAAAAAAGUCACAGAUAGUUUCCCUGCAGCUGCUUCUGUGCAGGGAAAGGAGGAAAAUAGAAAAUAGGUGAAAAGCAAUCAGGCAUCGAGUUGGUCUGGUGAAGACCCUGGGAUGGCACUCUGCCUCCGAAAUGGCUGGAAGGUUGCUGCUGGUUCCCUUGGUAACUCUUCCACGGAGACAGAAACGGGCUGGGUGUCGCCCACCCAUGCCCGCCUGUGUUUGGAGCCAGAUCUUGUUCUGCUACACCUAGAGCGAGACCUGGACCCUCCACCAGUGUUCUUUGGUCCUAAGCGACUGUUCUCAUUUGUUUCAUCCCAUUGCAGAACAGGUAGUGGUCCUCUAAGAGGAAGACACUUCUGGAAUCUCUUUGUCUAGCAAAAGGAUUUUAUCUUCAUUCUCCAACUGAUUUACCCUGGCCUCAGGGUGAGCUUACGUUCCUAAGUUCCUAUGCAACAAAGGCUUCCUAAGGGCUUCGUGUAGCACUUCCAGGUGGUGCCAGCCAGGAGGUAGGAGCAGGGGGUGAGGGAGUGAGGGACAGUUGGGCAUGUAACCCGAGUGUUCUCCUUGGGUGGAGCCCACUAACAAAGUGCAGUUCAAACAAUCAGGACUUCUGCGUGCACGAUCCACAGCCUGAUUUUCUUCCAGGGUUGCCUGGUAAGGUAGGCUGCUGGCAAGACUAGCCCUUCAGGAUCUGGUAGCCCAGGGAUGAGAUGCAUGCAUCACGAAGCCUCUCUAACUUCCUAGUGACUCUUGGAUGGUCCUUCUCCUCAACAAACAACCAGACUCAUGUGAGAGUUCCCAGAGAAGUGAAGACUGGAAACAGCCCAAUUUACCCAAGAAAACUUAUCCACGCUCCUUUCACAGAGGCUGAGAAACAUUGCAUGACUUAGGAGCAGGUGCUAUUUUUGUUGUUGCUGGGACAUGGGCCUUCUUAAUCCCCAAGAUAUGAUAUCACAAUCCCAUUGCAGAAUCCACUUUCCAUCAUUUCUCUCUCUCUCAUCUUUGAU